GAACACAUGUUUAGGACAGACAGGAAUUCUUAUGCAGAGAAAAGAUAAUGUCUUAGAAUGGAUAUUUUUUACCACACAAAAAGUGGAAUGAAGGCAUCCAGCUAAGGAACCUGAAGACGACUGGCCAAAUGAGACUUCUAAAGAAGAAGGACAAAUCAUCCAGAGAAAAUGCCCCAAGAAAAAGAACAAAUUGUGAACUGUGACUAUUCCUAACGGCAACCUUUGAGGUCUCCAAAAGGAUGUUGGGGCCCCACAACAAUGAAUUCACCUGGAUUGUGGUAAUGCCACUAAGCUAACAAACACCACCCAAAGAUCAUCAGCUUUGGACUACAAAGUUCUUAGGACAGUUAGAUAAGAUGGUCCAGCCUC